AUACGGAGGAUCCGAGCGUUAUCCGGAUUUAUUGGGUUUAAAGGGUGCGUAGGCGGCCUUUUAAGUCAGCGGUGAAAGUCUGUGGCUCAACCAUAGAAUUGCCGUUGAAACUGGGGGGCUUGAGUAUGUUUGAGGCAGGCGGAAUGCGUGGUGUAGCGGUGAAAUGCUUAGAUAUCACGCAGAACCCCGAUUGCGAAGGCCGCCUGCCAAGCCAUGACUGACGCUGAUGCACGAAAGCGUGGGGAUCAAACAGGAUUAGAUACCCUGGUAGUCCACGCAGUAAACGAUGAUCACUAGCUGUUUGCGAUACGCUGUAAGCGGCACAGCGAAAGCGUUAAGUGAUCCACCUGGGGAGUACGCCGGCAACGGUGAAACUCAAAUGAAUUGACGGGG
rnacentral:rRNA from 1 species